rnacentral:rRNA from 1 species
UACGUAGGGGGCAAGCGUUUGUCCGGAUUUACUGGGCGUAAAGCGCGUGUAGGUGGGAGUGCAAGUCCGGUGGGAAAGCCCGCGGCUCAACCGCGGAAGUUCGCUGGAAACUGUGCUUCUUGAGGGUGAUAGAGGGAAGUGGAAUUGCUGGUGUAGCGGUGAAAUGCGUAGAUAUCAGCAGGAACACCCGUGGCGAAGGCGGCUUCCUGGAUCACCCCUGACCGCUGAGACGCGAAAGCGUGGGGAGCGAACGGG